UUUAAAUAAAAUUUGAGAAGCUAUUUAAGUUCAAUUAAAGUUAAAGUUAUUAUUUUAAAAAAACUCGCCUAACUCACAACGAAAAUUUUGGGAAGUUUAUACUUUUUGCAAACAAAGCAGAAUUAAGAUCAGUUUUAAUAUAAAGACCAAAUACUACUGAAGUACUUCACGGUCAGCAAAAAUUUGACAGUGGCAGAUAUCUACAAAGGACACAGAUUAACAAUGUGUCGAAUCAGUAUAUAGUAUAAAAUAUGAACAUGUCAUUUCACCAAACAAAACGAAACGGCUUAAAAAUGUGCUAACGCUGGGAUUUUAUCAUUUGAUUUCAAACAGUCUUACUUGUAAGAAGGAAAAGAUCUAUUGUAUCUAGAAUGUCGCAAGAAAGUGAAAGCGAGGUUGCUACUAUUAAGGGACUGCCAAUAACAUUACCACAAUCGCGUGGAGUGUGGGUAGUUGCAUUAGCAGCACUACUCCUUUGUAUUAUUUUUUAUAUUUUUUAUGGAGGUAUAUUAACUUUAGCAGCAUUUUUCGCUUUUAUAUUAGGUAUGCUAUACUAUGCCCAGGAUAUACUUUUGUAUCAUCCAGAUAUGCCAGCCAAUUCGCGAAUAUACAUUCCGAUACCAACAAUGCAUAAUUUACCACAUGAAAGCGUUAAUAUACGUACUCCGGACAAAGUGUUGUUGCACGCUUUCUGGAUUUCUCAACCCGAGGAACGUUCCAAAAUGGUACCUACUUUUGUAUUUUUUCAUGGUAAUGCCGGCAAUAUGGGCCAUCGUAUGCAAAAUGUUUGGGGAAUUUUUUACAAUUUAAAUUGUAAUAUUUUGAUGCUUGAAUAUCGCGGUUAUGGUUUGUCGACUGGUGCUCCAUCCGAACAUGGGCUUACAGUAGAUGCACGCGCUGCUAUCGAUUAUUUAUAUACACGUCAUGAUUUGGAUCAUAAGCAAAUAGUAGUUUUUGGACGUUCGUUAGGCGGAGCUGUAGCUAUUGACGUAGCAUCUGAUACCGUAUAUGGGCAGAAAAUAAUGUGUGCUAUAGUAGAGAAUACAUUUACUAGUAUUCCAGAAAUGGCUGUGGAAUUAGUGCAUCCAACAAUUAGAUUUAUACCAAAUUUUUGUUAUAAAAAUAAGUUUAAUUCAAUUGGUAAAAUAGGCAAUAGUUCGGUGCCAUUUUUGUUUCUAUCGGGUAUGGCUGAUACCUUAGUUCCGCCUCGUAUGAUGCGUUCAUUAUACACAGAAUGUGGCAGUAAAAAAAAAUACGUUUUGGAGUUUAUUGGGGGUUCACAUAACGAUACAUGGAUUGUAGAUGGAAAAAACUCACAGCUAGAAAUUGUUCGAACUUUUUGUAUAUGAUUGUAUAUGGUUAUAAAGAGCUAAAAUCAAAGCACGGGUAUUUAAAUAUGCGAAUACAAUAAACGAAUACAAUAAGAUCAAGAUAAUCGGCAAAGAAACAAUAUGAAAUAUCAUUAAUUUCAAUAUCGUAACGAUAAAAUUGCUUAGAAUCAUAUGAUAUGCAAAAUAACAAUACAAAAUGAACAAAGGAUAUAGUUAUUAUCAGGGUAUAAAAAACUUUCUAAACGAAUGCCAAAAUAUGUCACUACCCUUAGUAAAACCCCCAUUGAAAACAAAUCUAUGGAAAG